rnacentral:lncRNA from 1 species
AAACUUUUAGGAAUUUUUGGUCCUCAAUGCUCUUCAACUUUGUACUUUAUUUGACCUUUUAAACAUUUUUUGAUUCAAGCGGCACUGAUGAGUCUUUUGUAGACAAAACGUGCGUCUGGCGUAAUUAUAAAAUUUUAAUCCUGGUAUCUAUGAUGAGUUUAUCCCCAUAGGUUAAUGAAUACUAACUUUUUUAAUGUGGAAGGCGAUUUUUUAUCCCUUUUUAUAUACUUGGAAUGUCAAAGCCAGUUAAGUAUAAGAUAUUGCAGGAAUCUUCAAAGUGAAAAAGGGGCAAAAACAUAAGACUCAGUAAUUAUUUUAACAAUGAAUUCAUAGAAAUAAUUUUGAAAUUUUUCAAAAUAUUAUUUAAAUGUAUAGCAAGACAAAGCCUUAUCAUAGUUCAAAUAAUGUAUUUUAAAGAUACGAAUUAAAAGUACAUUGAAUAUGGCAACCAUAGAAAAAGAG